rnacentral:rRNA from 1 species
CCUACGGGUGGCAGCAGUGGGGAAUAUUGCGCAAUGGGCGAAAGCCUGACGCAGCGACGCCGCGUGAGGGAUGAAGGUCUUCGGAUCGUACACCUCUGUCAGCAGGGAAGAACGGUCACUGUGCUAAUCAGCAGUGAAUUGACGGUACCUGCAAAGGAAGCACCGGCUACAUCCGUGCCAGCAGCCGCGGUAAUACGGAGGGUGCGAGCGUUAAUCGGAAUUACUGGGCGUAAAGCUUUCGUAGGCGGUAUGUCAAGUCAAGGGUGAAAUCCCCGCGGUCAAAGUGGGAACUGCCUUUGAAACGGGCAAACCGGAGUGUGUGAGAGGAUAGUUGAAUUUCAGGUGGUGGAGUG